AUUCAACUGACGAGUCCCAAAUAGUACGAAACGCACGUCAAACUGAAU
rfam:Schistosoma curassoni strain Dakar, Senegal genome assembly, scaffold: SCTD_scaffold0001119